UGAGGCCACGGCGUUCUAGCAUCGCUCAAUGGCGUCCCAUAUCCAAAGGCUACAGAAAAAAGCCUUUGAUAGUUGAAGGCCGUGUUUUGAGUUGUGUAUUAAAGCUAUGAAUAUGGAGAACACUGUGUACGAACAGGUCACACGUCCUUCUCGUGACGCAUAAUUUAUGGAUGGCUGGGUCCCUAGGAAGAUUAAAGAGAAUUUUGAGGACUCCAGCUGGAUCGAUGCACCAACAGAAGAUGUCUGGAAUUAAUGGGAACAGUUCAACAUCUGGAAUGGGUGACAUCAUCCAUCUGAAUGUCGGAGGAACGAGAUUUAGCAUGUCAAGACAGACUCUGACCUGGAUUCCUGACUCUUUCUUCUCAAGGUAAGAUAAGAUGUCUGAAGCAGCAACACCACACAGAGAUCUUCUUUGUAUGCAUAUUUUUUAUAAACCUCUAUCCAUUCUUCUUGAAUAAUCAAACUAAUGCAGUUGUUGUGUUAUAGACAUUACAUAGCUUUGUUGGUGUAAAUGUGAUUUGUGCCCAGUUUACUAAGUGGAAGGAUAUCAACACUACGGGAUGAAACUGGAGCUGUGAGUAGAAGUCCUAAAAAACAACUAUACCAUUUAUUAUGGAUUGUUUGUAAAAAAAAAAAAAAAUAAUAAUUUAAAAGUUUUCAGAUGCAUUCAAUUUUACUAAUUUUAUCCAGCUCUGAAUUAGAUCUUUUUUUUCCCUGUAAGAUAUUCAUUGACAGAGACCCAACAGCAUUUGCACCCAUUUUAAACUUUCUUUGAACUAAAGAAUUAGACUUGAGGUAAGAUACAUCAUAUGCUGAAUUGUUAUUCAUCACAUAUCCCUGAAAUAAAUAGUUUGACUUGUGUCAUAUUCCUACUUUCUCUGACGGGGGUUAACAUUAGUAUCCUGCGCCAUGAGGCUGAGUUCUAUGGUAUUACACCCUUAGGUAUGGUACAACUGGAGUGAAUAUAUUUAUAAAAAACAGUUGACAGUAAAACCAUAUGUGAGUGAAUUAGGAGCAGCAGAUAAUUUAAGCAUGUGUAAUUUUUACCUUCCGUUUCUGUUUGUCAUCGAUAUGGUUAGUCCGACGCUUGCUGCUUUGUGAAGAACUGGAGCGAUCAUCAUGUGGAAGUGUGUUGUUUCAUGGCUACCUCCCUCCACCAGCUCUCCCAGCGCGGAGCAGUGUAGCUGGUGGCAGCCUGCAGCUGUUGCUGGUCCCAGCGACGCAGAAGGGGGUUACCCAUGUUCCUGCCCUCAGUCUUCUCUCCCUGGACCCUCUGGGGCAGAUGGACCUCAAAGACUAGCGAAGUCUUGUGAGGAGAUUGAUGAAAGAGAGAUGGAGACCCAACAGCACAGGGAUGGUCCACCCUAAAAUGGAAGCAUAAAGAAAAUUUGAAAGAAGAAUUUACUCACCCUCAAGUCAUCUAAAACCCACAGGACUUUCUUUUGUGGAUCAGGAAAGGAAAAGUUUAACAGGAUGUUUUGCUGCUCUCUUCCAUACGAUGAAAGUGGAUUUAAUACUUUAUAUUCAGAGCUGAGUAAUAGAAUUAAAUGCGUUACUAUUGAUAAUAUUUUCUUGAUAAUCCUUCUUGACAUUUGCUUUCAUUGUAUAGUAAAGAUCAGUUUGGCUACUUAUGUGUUUAAUGAAAGAAAAAAAAAAUGAUAGUGGUCGAAAGACUUCAUAUUUUGGGUGGAUAAUUGUUUAAAUGGUUUGCUAUUCUCUUGUAAAUGAAGUUGCUUUUUAAAAAAGUAGAUUAGCAUGCUGAUGCUGGGGGCCACUAACAGUAUCUUCAAAACACUGCGAUGCACUUUAUUGUCUGUUCUUAUGUUCAUCCGUUACAUUGAAUGAACUGAACAGAUGAACUUCAUUGAUCAGGUUCGACUAGACUGUCGUGAAGGCGGCAGGAAUCAGCAGCCUUUCACAAACUCUUUCUAAAUCCUUUCAGACGGGCUGCGCUCUCUGAACUUUCAGCAUGCAUCUGCAGGGGAGAUUUACUUGCUCUAUCCGUUUUUGGGAUUUAUUCAGUGCCUUUUGCUAAUUUGGAUAGAUACUGCUGUGAGAAAUCGAAACAGAUUUAACUUCUUUUUUAUCUGUCUUUCUGAUUCAAGUGAAGCGGAUUCUGUUUUACUGAAAAAUAAAUUCAAUGAAAACUAUAUACUUUACAGACAGUUGCCAGAUUUAAAGGUAAUAUAGGAUUAAAAUUUGAAAAAAAAUAUGAAUGGAUAUAUCAUGGAUUAUAUUAUAUCCUGGAUUAUAUCCUGCCAGAGAAAAUGUAAAUGGAAUCCUUUAACAAAGUACUUCUAUAUAAUGGAAAUGAGAUCUCAUUAAUGCUAUGCAAUCAGUGUUAGCGCUGACAUGGCCUGAAACUGAAUAAUGAAAAACAAAAACUGCAUGGAGCUAGAAAAAUUAAUUCUGGUAAAUAUAAUAAUACAAAUAAUAACCCCUUGGAAGAUCUUCAUGUUUCAGUUAUGUUGCAUAAAAUACUUCCAAUUGACUUUUUAAAAUGUCCUUUGCUAUGACUGGUUCGCUCCCAGUUAUAGUGAUCUUGGAAUCAAAAUACGCAUAUUAAUGAAAUGCAUAUUAAUUAAUCAGCUACUUCUGUCAUUUAUUUGCUCUCUGAGAUGUUUCAGUGUUGGGUAAUAUUUAGUAGUAUUCGUUAUGCUUGCUUUCAGAAAUACUGUCACAACCUGAUGUGUGUUUUCAGUCUGGUUGGUUACUGGAUGAUUUCCUCUCCAGACAAGAGACCAAACCAUUUCAAUAUGCGUAAUAGUUGUGUUUUAUCUAACAAAGAAUUUCUGCUGCACAGAUCAUGAUUCAGCUACAAGAGAAAAGUUUGUUAUGUGAAAUAUGGGAGGGAAAAAAAGAAUAUUGUACAUGCAGUAAAUAUUGGUGCUCAGCUUCUGGACAUUUCCAGUGGCACAAUAAAACAGAGCAGUGUCUCAGACUA